rnacentral:lncRNA from 1 species
AGGGAAUUUGGCUACCCAGGAACAACCGAAUUCCCAACUGCAUUUUGCUUCCCAGAAGGAAAAACAGAUCUUGUCCCAUGUUGGUGCAAAUAUUUUAACCAACUACAGUCAAUAAGGCAUUUUCCCUUACAAGAUUAUAUGAAGUUGCUAAUACUUCUGAUGUGAUGACCAGGGAUGUUGGAGGCAUAUGGGGGCAGUGGGUGCAACGUUCAAGGAGAAAUCACUGAACUUGACAGUAGCAUUCGAAAACCAAAUCAUUAGGAUUUUUUUAGUUUUUUAUUUUCUUUACUAUAAUAUUUUUG